GAUGAACGCUAGCGGCAGGCUUAAUACAUGCAAGUUGAGGGGCAGCAUGAUAUACGCGAGUAUAUUGAUGGCGACCGGCGGACGGGUGAGUAAUAGGUAGGAGACCUACCUCAUACAGGGGGAUAGCAUAGAGAAAUCUGUGGUAAUACCCCAUGAGGUUAUAUGAAUAGAGGCAUAUAAUCAAAGCAUAAGCGAUUAUGCGGUAUGAGAGGGGCCUACUGACCAUUAGCUAGUUGGUGAGGUAAGGGCUCACCAAGGCGAAGAUGGUUAGGGGUUUUGAGAGAGAGACCCCCCACAUUGGAACUGAGAGACGGUCCAGACUCCUACGGGAGGCAGCAGUAGGGAAUAUUGGGCAAUGGGCGAAAGCCUGACCCAGCCAUGCCGCGUGAAGGAAGACGGCCUUAUGGGUUGUAAACUUCUUUACUAUGCGACUAACUAGAUUUACGAGAUAAUUCUAUAGAAUGUAGCAUAGC
rnacentral:rRNA from 1 species